rnacentral:rRNA from 1 species
UACGUAGGGUGCGAGCGUUGUCCGGAAUCAUUGGGCGUAAAGCGCGUGUAGGCGGCCUUGUAAGUCCGUUCUGAAAGCCCGGGGCUCAACCCCGGGAGGCGGAUGGAUACUGCAAGGCUCGAGUCCGGAAGAGGCGAGUGGAAUUCCCGGUGUAGCGGUGAAAUGCGCAGAUAUCGGGAGGAACACCAAUGGCGAAGGCAGCUCGCUGGGACGGUACUGACGCUGAGACGCGAAAGCGUGGGGAGCAAACAGG